AUACGUAGGGGGCGAGCGUUGUCCGGAUUUACUGGGCGUAAAGGGUGAGUAGGCGGUUAUGUGUGUCAGAUGUAAAAGGCUAUGGCUUAACCAUAGUUAGCAUUUGAAACUGUAUGACUUGAGUGCAGGAGAGGUAAGUGGAAUUCCUAGUGUAGCGGUGAAAUGCGUAGAUAUUAGGAGGAACACCAGUGGCGAAGGCGACUUACUGGACUGUAACUGACGCUGAGUCACGAAAGCGUGGGUAGCAAACAGGAUUAGAUACCCUGGUAGUCCACGCUGUAAACGAUGAGUGCUAGGUGUUGGCCAGCGAUGGUCAGUGCCGCAGUAAACACAUUAAGCACUCCGCCUGGGGAGUACGGUCGCAAGACUGAAACUCAAAUGAAUUGACGGGG
rnacentral:rRNA from 1 species